rnacentral:rRNA from 1 species
UACGUAGGGGGCUAGCGUUGUCCGGAUUUAUUGGGCGUAAAGAGCGUGUAGGCGGCCAGAUAGGUCCGUUGUGAAACUGGAGGCUUAACCUCCAGCUGUCGAUGGAAACCAUCUGGCUAGAGUCCGGAAGAGGAGAGUGGAAUUCCUGGUGUAGCGGUGAAAUGCGCAGAUAUCAGGAAGAACACCCGUGGCGAAGGCGGCUCUCUGGGACGGUACUGACGCUGAGACGCGAAAGCGUGGGGAGCGAACAGG